UGAGGAAUAUUGGUCAAUGGUCGGAAGACUGAACCAGCCAUGCCGCGUGCAGGAAGAAUGCCUUAUGGGUUGUAAACUGCUUUUAUAUGGGAAGAAUAAGGUGUACGUGUACAUUGAUGACGGUACCAUAUGAAUAAGCAUCGGCUAACUCCGUGCCAGCAGCCGCGGUAAUACGGAGGAUGCGAGCGUUAUUCGGAAUCAUUGGGUUUAAAGGGUCUGUAGGCGGGCUAUUAAGUCAGAGGUGAAAGGUUUCAGCUUAACUGAGAAAUUGCCUUUGAUACUGGUAGUCUUGAAUAUCUGUGAAGUUCUUGGAAUGUGUAGUGUAGCGGUGAAAUGCUUAGAUAUUACACAGAACACCGAUUGCGAAGGCAGGGGACUAACAGACAAUUGACGCUGAGAGACGAAAGCGUGGGGAGCGAACAGGAUUAGAUACCCUGGUAGUCCACGCUGUAAACGAUGGAUACUAGCUGUUUGGCGCAAGCCGAGUGGCUAAGCGAAAGUGAUAAGUAUCCCACCUGGGGAGUACGCACGCAAGUGUG
rnacentral:rRNA from 1 species